CGCUGGCGGCGUGCUUAACACAUGCAAGUCGAACGAGAAUCACCGGAAGGAGUUUUCGGACAACGGAAGGUGAGGACAGUGGCGGACGGGUGAGUAACGCGUGAGGAACCUGCCUUUCAGAGGGGGACAACAGUUGGAAACGACUGCUAAUACCGCAUAACGCAUAGGUAUCGCAUGGUACUUAUGCCAAAGAUUUAUCGCUGAAAGAUGGCCUCGCGUCUGAUUAGCUGGUUGGUGAGGUAACGGCCCACCAAGGCGACGAUCAGUAGCCGGACUGAGAGGUUGACCGGCCACAUUGGGACUGAGAUACGGCCCAGACUCCUACGGGAGGCAGCAGUGGGGAAUAUUGGGCAAUGGGCGCAAGCCUGACCCAGCAACGCCGCGUGAAGGAAGAAGGCUUUCGGGUUGUAAACUUCUUUUGGCAGGGAAGAGGAGAAGACGGUACCUGCCGAAUAAGCCACGGCUAACUACGUGCCAGCAGCCGCGGUAAUACGUAGGUGGCAAGCGUUGUCCGGAUUUACUGGGUGUAAAGGGCGUGUAGCCGGGUUGGUAAGUCAGGUGUGAAAUGCACGGGCUUAACUCGUGAACUGCAUUUGAAACU
rnacentral:rRNA from 1 species